rnacentral:rRNA from 1 species
CAGAGGGAAAAGGAGCAAUCCGCUUUGAGAUGGCCUCGCGUCCGAUUAGCUAGUUGGUGAGGUAAUGGCCCACCAAGGCGACGAUCGGUAGCCGGACUGAGAGGUUGAACGGCCACAUUGGGACUGAGACACGGCCCAGACUCCUACGGGAGGCAGCAGUGGGGAAUAUUGCACAAUGGGGGAAACCCUGAUGCAGCGACGCCGCGUGGAGGAAGAAGGUCUUCGGAUUGUAAACUCCUGUUGUUGAGGAAGAUAAUGACGGUACUCAACAAGGAAGUGACGGCUAACUACGUGCCAGCAGCCGCGGUAAAACGUAGGUCACAAGCGUUGUCCGGAAUUACUGGGUGUAAAGGGAGCGCAGGCGGGAAGACAAGUUGGAAGUGAAAUCUAUGGGCUCAACCCAUAAACUGCUUUCAAAACUGUUUUUCUUGAGUAGUGCAGAGGUAGGCGGAAUUCCCGGUGUAGCGGUGGAAUGCGUAGAUAUCGGGAGGAACACCAGUGGCGAAGGCGGCCUACUGGGCACCAACUGACGCUGAGGCUCGAAAGUGUGGGUAGCAAACAGGAUUAGAUACCCUGGUAGUCCACACCGUA